UAUAAGACUGUAAACAUACAAGGUUAAAUACAUGUAACAAAUUCUAUCUUGCUGUUACUUAAUUCAUGAAGAUAAAAUAGAGGAGAUAGAGUUUGUUGUGGCUGCUGUUACUGAAGCUCUCUAAUUUGGAGAUAAGAUUGUUGAUGCUUCCAGUGUUUAUUGAGAUAAUGCUGAAGUUUCAGUUUCUGUACACAGUUCACUAACAGUAUGUGUGUGUAUGUAUACCUAUAUGUAAAACAGAGGUUCAAACAAGUGUUGAUAUUAUUUUGACAGCUGAAUUGUUAAAAUUUUCAGUUUAGAUAGUCCCAUCUGGAACCUUAAUCUUGUAAGCAACUGAACCAAUUCUUUCAAGCACCUCAUAAGAUCCAUAAAACCGUAGAUGCAGCUUAGUGAUAGAGUGAGAUGCCAAAGACGAGAGUUGAUAAGGCAAGAGCUUCUGGUAAACUAAUUAUCCUUCUUAAACUCUCUAUCAGUGCAAUGCUUGUUUGCUUGGUUAUGCAUCCUUUCUUGAGAUAACUGAAGCUUAUGCUUUAAUACAACAUGCGUAUUAUUCCUCUCCAAUAGAGCAUGCUCCAAGACAGCUAAUUUUGCUAAAUAAUCCUAACUCAUAACUAGAAAUGUAUGCUGGAGUAUAUCCAUAUAAUAAUUCAAAGGGUGAAACCUUGGUAGCUGUAUGAUAAGACGUAUUACAGCUCCAUUUGCCCAAGUCAACCAAUCCAACCAUUUCUUAGGCUGAGAAUCAGAGAAACACCUCAAAUCAGUGUUAUCAAAACCGACUCAGGCUGUCGAUCGGAUUAGUUGAACCGGUGCUUUUUGGUGAGGCCGGGUCAAUUAUGUUGUUGAACCAAGCAAGCAAUUAAACCAUGAGGAAUCAUCAAAACCCGUAUGGCCGGUAGGUUUAACCUCUAACUUGGAGUUCAAGGUUAGCGUUUGAACUAAUUUUGAUGGGUAUUAAUAUUAUUGCGUUGGCCACUGCAGUUCAAGGUUAGUGUUUGAACUUAUUUUCUUUAAUUUUACUAAUAGAUAGUCCCAAUGUUAGCUUUUUGGAGGGGGAAUUGACUCUCAGGAAAAAAAAAAGGACAUUGCUCAUGAUACUAAACAAACAGGCAGAUGAGGAAAAUCAUAAUUUGAUCGAGCAUCAUGAUGAUUUACCCGAUGAAGAAGACAGGGAACAAUUACCCAAGGAGAAAAAUGGAUGGAAAGGUAGAUAGAUAUCGAGGACGAUUGACGGGGAACAAUUAAAUAUCGUGGCACCAACGGGGCAGUUAUUUUGACAAACUUAUCUUAUCAUUUAAUUUUUUUUUUUAUUCCUUAUCUGUUGUAAAUUGUAAUGUUUUUUUCUGCUUUCUUGCAGAUCAUGGAACCACCACAUUCUAGCUACACAAACAAACUGCUUUGAGUUUUGAGAGGCUAACCAAAAUACAAAACUUCUUCUACUGGCGAGGUUUGUAAGAAGAAGCUUAUUCUUACUUUUUCACUAUAAGUUAUGCAACACGAACUCAGUUUUUCCUACUACCAGUUUCAAGGUUGAGGAUCAGGUGUCCGACGAUACGAGUAAAGCUAUUUUCACAAUGUUUGAUACAGAGUUGCAAAGGAUUGUUGGUUACCUUCAUCUCAGCUGAUAGCCCAAGCGGUGAUUCAACGUCUGAGAUUCCUCCUCAACUCAAGUAUCUCAAAGGUCUUCGUACAUGUUUCAACUAAAAGUAACAGAUUUGUUAUGCACGAGAACAAAGAAUAUACAAUAUUAAAUUUAUUAGAUACUGAUCUUGACGUCAUGGUUGGGGGUGCAAGUGCAUUCUAAAUCAAAUUAGAAGAACCAGAAAAGAAAACCAAUGAGGUAUUAUUAUUAUAUAUGAAAAAAAAGUAUGUAUAAAAAUUAUUUUAGA